CGUGUGCUUACAAGUAGUCAGAGCCCGUUUAUGGGUGAUGGCGUGCCUUUUGUAGAAUGAACCGGCGAGUUACGAUCUGAUGCAAGGUUAAGCAGCGAAUGUGGAGCCGUAGCGAAAGCGAGUCUGAAGAGGGCGUUGAGUAUUUGGUCGUAGACCCGAAACCAGGUGAUCUACCCUUGGUCAGGUUGAAGUUCAGGUAACACUGAAUGGAGGACCGAACCGACUUACGUUGAAAAGUGAGCGGAUGAACUGAGGGU
rnacentral:rRNA from 1 species